rnacentral:rRNA from 1 species
AAUGAACGCUGGCGGCAGGCCUAAUACAUGCAAGUCGAACGAGUGGCGGACGGGCGAGCAGUUGCUUGGAAACUGCCUGAUGGACUGGGAUUACUACUGGAAACGGUAGAUAAUAUUGCAUACCACCGGAUGUGCCGAGAUGUGAUUAGCUAGUAGGUGGGUUAAAGGUUCACCUAGGUGAUGAUCCCUAGCUGGGCUGAGAGGAUGACCAAACACACUGGAGCAGAGAAACGAGCCAGACUCCGGCGGGGGGCAGCAGUGGGGAAUAUUACACAAUGGGAGAAAGCCUGAUGCAGCCAUGCCGGGGGUAUGAAGAAGGCCUACGGGUUGUAAAGUACUUACAGCGGGGAGGCGUUACCCUAAAAAAAAGCACCGGCUAACUCCGUGCCAGCAGCCGCGGUAAUUC